CAUUGACUGAGGAGAUGAGAGAGUCUUAAAAGAUAAGACUGGUGUUAGUUUGUCUUUGUGUUGUUAUCAACAAAUCCUGUUGUGAGACCCAAAUCAACUGAAGGGAACAUAAACGUCCGUACCAAAUGUCCUGGCAAUCUAGCCAGUAUUUGUCAAGAUGUUUCAGAGAGCGAAGUUGUGAACUGACAACUGACCAGGCGACCAACACCCAACAAUUUGUCUCCGCUUCCGGCCCCAUGUGUUUCCCAUCUGUCAUUAGUGAUUCCACCUGUGUCUCGUUACCACGCCCAGUUCCUGGUGUAUAUCGUCUGUGUGUUUGGUUCCCCUUGUUGCCAGUUAGUCUUCGUCCCAUGGUUCGUCCCAACCCUGAUCCUGCUUCUGUGACCCGACUCUGCCUUCGCCUACUCCUUGCGUGUUUUGUUUGCCUCGCUGACUGCCUUCCCUUGUACCAACCUGUUUUUGCUGUGCCGUCACUGAACCACCAAGAUAAAUCUGUGUAGUGAAAGAGCCACGCCGCGGAAUGACCAACAUAUAAGACUGUGGUUGAACUGGGAAACUUCCAGUUGUGUGUUGUGCAAAACGGACACUAAAACCUAGCCCAGACGGAAACAUGUGAACUCAGUAAUCAACAAAUUGUUCGAAUCAUCCAUUGAAACCUCUUAACUUCCAUUCUCUGCUCUUGUCAGGCAGUUGGACUGUUAAAAGAUGCGUCCGGGAAUGCAACAACUGUCCUCGCUUUAUUUUGUCUGGAACAUCGUAUUUAUUAACCACAGUCAUCAGCAAAGAAGCGAAGCCUGUGAUGGGGACACACUUGUCUAAACCAGAACAGAUAACUGGUGUAUGUUUCCUGUUUUUCUAUGUGCCAAUCAUUUUUAAUAGUUGAUGCACUGUCUGUGUUGCUCAGGAAUGUGUCAAAUGUUAAGGGAAGAUGUUCUUCUGCCUCCGAAACUCCACAUUAUCUUCAAAUCUGACUUUUUCUCUUUUGACUGAAAAAUAACUUCUAGACAAACAUUGGAAGAAAACUGUCACUACAUUCAGAACUGUUGCUGACAUUAUUGGGGCCACUAUUCCAGCCAUGCAGACAGACUUGGUUUCAUUUGUUCACGUUUUAAAAUAUGGACUUCUGCCUUUUAACCCAAUAAAAUUAAUGGAAAUGAAUUCAGGUUCUAAAAUAUAAACAAUUGAUGUUUCAAAAAUAAAAAAUCCUGUGUUUAUUUGUUCACUGUAAUUGUAUCAAUCCUAACUGUCCACUUCAAAUCUGUAAAUGGAGUUUGAGGAUUUGCUGUAAAGUAAAAAAGUGUAGAAAAGUUGGCAGCUAUUCUCCAGACGACUUUAGAAACUAUGAAUAUUGUUGAACCGCUCACCAGUGCGCAGAAUGUCUGUUACUAAUCCUGUGUUGCAAGAAUGUAUCCACACUGUGCCAGCUGUGCAGAGAAUACGCAGGAUUUUGGAGAGCUGGCAGACAUGCAAGUGAACAUAAUCUGUUGAGAAUAUAGAGGUUGCUUUUGUCUCUGCAAUCUUCACAUACUUCACAUAGUGUUUUAUGUGUUUAUUUUCUCAGUCGUGCGCGCCUACAGAACCCUGGUGCAUCACAUUUUGACCUAUACAGUAUCCAGGUCUGAGCCUGUUUAAUAAGGUCAGGUCACUGGUGUUACAUUAAUAGGUUGGGUAACGCCAAAUAGUCAUUUUCUGAGAGGCUUAACCUCUACCCAACAUUGCCCUAACACUGGAAUAUUCUCAAGCAUUUGUCAUUCUGUUGAUGACUUCUGCAUUUCCAAAAACAACUGUUCCUAUUGGUAGAUACCACUAGAAAAGGUGAACCAACUCUUUACCACGUAGUAGUUGUAUGUGUCAUCCUCAGAUUACCUCAUUGGGUUCUGACAACUGGAAACAAUUACAAUUGAAUAUGGUUUGUAUUUAUUUUCUGGGAUUUAAAAUCUAUUUCUGUGUCUGUGUUUCUGCCAGUACAGCCACUGAGAAGAUUGACGUGUGUGUGUGU